rnacentral:rRNA from 1 species
UUAAAUUGAAGAGUUUGAUCAUGGCUCAGAUUGAACGCUGGCGGCAGGCCUAACACAUGCAAGUCGAACGGUAACAGGAAGCAGCUUGCUGCUUCGCUGACGAGUGGCGGACGGGUGAGUAAUGUCUGGGAAACUGCCUGAUGGAGGGGGAUAACUACUGGAAACGGUAGCUAAUACCGCAUAACGUCGCAAGACCAAAGAGGGGGACCUUCGGGCCUCUUGCCAUCGGAUGUGCCCAGAUGGGAUUAGCUAGUAGGUGGGGUAACGGCUCACCUAGGCGACGAUCCCUAGCUGGUCUGAGAGGAUGACCAGCCACACUGGAACUGAGACACGGUCCAGACUCCUACGGGAGGCAGCAGUGGGGAAUAUUGCACAAUGGGCGCAAGCCUGAUGCAGCCAUGCCGCGUGUAUGAAGAAGGCCUUCGGGUUGUAAAGUACUUUCAGCGGGGAGGAAGGUGCUGAGGUUAAUAACCUCAGCAAUUGACGUUACCCGCAGAAGAAGCACCGGCUAACUCCGUGCCAGCAGCCGCGGUAAUACGGAGGGUGCAAGCGUUAAUCGGAAUUACUGGGCGUAAAGCGCACGCAGGCGGUCUGUCAAGUCGGAUGUGAAAUCCCCGGGCUCAACCUGGGAACUGCAUUCGAAACUGGCAGGCUAGAGUCUUGUAGAGGGGGGUAGAAUUCCAGGUGUAGCGGUGAAAUGCGUAGAGAUCUGGAGGAAUACCGGUGGCGAAGGCGGCCCCCUGGACAAAGACUGACGC